GUGCUCACUUUGGCAGCAUAUAUACUAAAAUUGGAAUGAUACAAAGAUUAGCAUGGCCCCUGUGCAAGGAUGACAUGCAAAUUUGUGGAGCAUUCCAUAUUUUU